GUGUUAAAGCGUGUAAAGUUAUUGUAAUUUGUAUAUUAUCUUAAUUAUUUUAAUUUUACUUUUCUUUUCAUGUAUUGGAUGGUCAUAUAAUGAUGACAUUAAGGUUAGAUGGCCACAAAUUCCGACUUAUCUACUCUCCCCCCUAUAAGCAAAUUUCACCGCUAGUCCUAAAGCAAUCAGGACCAUAGAAAUGAGGAUCUGUCUGUGCAUUUUUUCUUCUAAUAUAUAUGGCCUCUGGCCGCAAUCAUGAUUUUAAAAGUUAGUAGUUUAUUUAUGUCAUUUGUAAAACUAUACGCUUUUAAAAUAUUCAAAGAAAAAUUAUGAUUGGGAUUAAACUUAAGAUUAAUUUGGUUCAUUUCAGUUUAUACUGGCUGUUUGAAAACUAAGUUUCAAUUGCAUGAAAACCCAAAUUUAUUCAACUAACAGGCGUAGAAGAAGGAAUGGAAAUGAAUGUCAUGCAAGAAGUAACAUUCAAAGGUCAAAGGUACAAGAUAUGGUGGUCCAAGCUAUAGCCAGCGCCAUGUUGUACAUUAGACCACCUUAGUCAAAAUGUUCUUACUUUAAGAGAAAGUUUUUUUUUUAUUGAAAUUUCAUAAUUUAUUCAUAAAAGGUAAUAAAAGUCAAAUGAUGCA